rnacentral:sRNA from 17 species
GUCAAUCCUCCCCGCCCUAAAGGGCGAAGCUUGUGCCCCAAGCUCGGUUGACCAGACCAUGCGCGAGCAAUCGCGCGACGUGUGAUGGAAGUGCGAAGACCCACCCGCAGAUGCUUCCUCAGUCCGCAGCUCUGGA